rnacentral:rRNA from 1 species
GGUUAAGCGACUAAGCGUACACGGUGGAUGCCCUGGCAGUCAGAGGCGAUGAAGGGCGUGCUAAUCUGCGAUAAGCGCCGGUAAGGUGAUAUGAACCGUUAUAACCGGCGAUACCCGAAUGGGGAAACCCAGUGUGACUCGUCACACUAUCAUUAACUGAAUCCAUAGGUUAAUGAGGCGAACCGGGGGAACUGAAACAUCUAAGUACCCCGAGGAAAAGAAAUCAACCGAGAUUCCCCCAGUAGCGGCGAGCGAACGGGGAGGAGCCCAGAGCCUGAAUCAGCAUGUGUGUUAGUGGAAGCGUCUGGAAAGGCGCGCGAUACAGGGUGACAGCCCCGUACACAAAAGCGCAUGUGCUGUGAGCUCGAUGAGUAGGGCGGGACACGUGGUAUCCUGUCUGAAUAUGGGGGGACCAUCCUCCAAGGCUAAAUACUCCUGACUGACCGAUAGUGAACCAGUACCGUGAGGGAAAGGCGAAAAGAACCCCGGCGAGGGGAGUGAAAAAGAACCUGAAACCGUGUACGUACAAGCAGUGGGAGCACAGGUUUACCUGUGUGACUGCGUACCUUUUGUAUAAUGGGUCAGCGACUUAUAUUCUGUAGCAAGGUUAACCGUAUAGGGGAGCCGUAGGGAAACCGAGUCUUAACCGGGCGUUAAGUUGCAGGGUAUAGACCCGAAACCCGGUGAUCUAGCCAUGGGCAGGUUGAAGGUUGGGUAACACUAACUGGAGGACCGAACCGACUAAUGUUGAAAAAUUAGCGGAUGACCUGUGGCUGGGGGUGAAAGGCCAAUCAAACCGGGAGAUAGCUGGUUCUCCCCGAAAGCUAUUUAGGUAGCGCCUCGUGAAUUCAUCUCCGGGGGUAGAGCACUGUUUCGGCUAGGGGGCCAUCCCGGCUUACCAACCCGAUGCAAACUGCGAAUACCGGAGAAUGUUAUCACGGGAGACACACGGCGGGUGCUAACGUCCGUCGUGAAGAGGGAAACAACCCAGACCGCCAGCUAAGGUCCCAAAGUCAUGGUUAAGUGGGAAACGAUGUGGGAAGGCCCAGACAGCCAGGAUGUUGGCUUAGAAGCAGCCAUCAUUUAAAGAAAGCGUAAUAGCUCACUGGUCGAGUCGGCCUGCGCGGAAGAUGUAACGGGGCUAAACCAUGCACCGAAGCUGCGGCAGCGACACUCAGGCGUUGUUGGGUAGGGGAGCGUUCUGUAAGCCUGUGAAGGUGGCCUGUGAGGGUUGCUGGAGGUAUCAGAAGUGCGAAUGCUGACAUAAGUAACGAUAAAGCGGGUGAAAAGCCCGCUCGCCGGAAGACCAAGGGUUCCUGUCCAACGUUAAUCGGGGCAGGGUGAGUCGACCCCUAAGGCGAGGCCGAAAGGCGUAGUCGAUGGGAAACGGGUUAAUAUUCCCGUACUUGGUGUUACUGCGAAGGGGGGACGGAGAAGGCUAUGUUGGCCGGGCGACGGUUGUCCCGGUUUAAGCGUGUAGGUGUGUGUUCCAGGUAAAUCCGGUUCACUUUAACACUGAGGCGUGAUGACGAGGCACUACGGUGCUGAAGCAACAAAUGCCCUGCUUCCAGGAAAAGCCUCUAAGCAUCAGGUAACAUCAAAUCGUACCCCAAACCGACACAGGUGGUCAGGUAGAGAAUACCAAGGCGCUUGAGAGAACUCGGGUGAAGGAACUAGGCAAAAUGGUGCCGUAACUUCGGGAGAAGGCACGCUGACACGUAGGUGAAGUGAUUUACUCAUGGAGCUGAAGUCAGUCGAAGAUACCAGCUGGCUGCAACUGUUUAUUAAAAACACAGCACUGUGCAAACACGAAAGUGGACGUAUACGGUGUGACGCCUGCCCGGUGCCGGAAGGUUAAUUGAUGGGGUCAGCGCAAGCGAAGCUCCUGAUCGAAGCCCCGGUAAACGGCGGCCGUAACUAUAACGGUCCUAAGGUAGCGAAAUUCCUUGUCGGGUAAGUUCCGACCUGCACGAAUGGCGUAAUGAUGGCCAGGCUGUCUCCACCCGAGACUCAGUGAAAUUGAACUCGCUGUGAAGAUGCAGUGUACCCGCGGCAAGACGGAAAGACCCCGUGAACCUUUACUAUAGCUUGACACUGAACAUUGAGCCUUGAUGUGUAGGAUAGGUGGGAGGCUUUGAAGUGUGGACGCCAGUCUGCAUGGAGCCGACCUUGAAAUACCACCCUUUAAUGUUUGAUGUUCUAACGUGGACCCGUAAUCCGGGUUGCGGACAGUGUCUGGUGGGUAGUUUGACUGGGGCGGUCUCCUCCUAAAGAGUAACGGAGGAGCACGAAGGUUGGCUAAUCCUGGUCGGACAUCAGGAGGUUAGUGCAAUGGCAUAAGCCAGCUUGACUGCGAGCGUGACGGCGCGAGCAGGUGCGAAAGCAGGUCAUAGUGAUCCGGUGGUUCUGAAUGGAAGGGCCAUCGCUCAACGGAUAAAAGGUACUCCGGGGAUAACAGGCUGAUACCGCCCAAGAGUUCAUAUCGACGGCGGUGUUUGGCACCUCGAUGUCGGCUCAUCACAUCCUGGGGCUGAAGUAGGUCCCAAGGGUAUGGCUGUUCGCCAUUUAAAGUGGUACGCGAGCUGGGUUUAGAACGUCGUGAGACAGUUCGGUCCCUAUCUGCCGUGGGCGCUGGAGAACUGAGGGGGGCUGCUCCUAGUACGAGAGGACCGGAGUGGACGCAUCACUGGUGUUCGGGUUGUCAUGCCAAUGGCACUGCCCGGUAGCUAAAUGCGGAAGAGAUAAGUGCUGAAAGCAUCUAAGCACGAAACUUGCCCCGAGAUGAGUUCUCCCUGAGACUUAAAGUCUCCUGAAGGAACGUUGAAGACGACGACGUUGAUAGGCCGGGUGUGUAAGCGCAGCGAUGCGUUGAGCUAACCGGUACUAAUGAACCGUGAGGCUUAACCUU